GCCCUCUCAAAUUCACAUCUGGAGAGUUUCCAGUACUCUAUUGGACCUGGGCUCAGGAGGGAGAGUCAAGCAGAGAUAUAUCCAUUCCAUUCCUAGCUUGAGCAGUGGCUAGUUAGUGGAAGACAAUCUGCUACAAGU